AUUGAACGCUGGCGGCAGGCCUAACACAUGCAAGUCGAGCGGAGCGGCGGACGGGUGAGUAAUGCCUAGGAAUCUGCCUGGUAGUGGGGGAUAACGUCCGGAAACGGGCGCUAAUACCGCAUACUAUCAGAUGAGCCUCGGUCGGAUUAGCUAGUUGGUGGGGUAAAGGCCUACCAAGGCGACGAUCCGUAACUGGUCGGAGAGGAGGAGAAGUCACACUGGAACUGAUACACGGGCCAGACUCCUACUGGAGGCAGCAGUGGGGAAUAUUGGACCAUGGGCGAAAUCCUGAUCCAGCCAUGCCGCGUGUUUGAAGAAGGUCUUCGGAUUGUAAAUCACUUUAAGUUGGGAGGCGUUACCAACAGAAUAAGCACCGGCUAACUUCGUGCCAGCAGCCGCGGUAAUUC
rnacentral:rRNA from 1 species